CGCUAGUCCAAAUGGAUCGUUCCAGAAAAGAUCCAUACUCCCCCAUGGCGGAAAUUUCUGCUGUCCGGAGGGGGAGGGGAGAAAAAAUUGUUUCUGAUAAUAGUAAAUGUAUUAGCCAUCCGAAAGGGGUAGGGGGGUUAACUUGUGGGGGUGGUACCGUAUGGAUGUUUUCUGGAAUGACCCAAUUGUCAGGCAUUUGGCAAUUUAUUGUAUCGCAAUCGGGAAAUUGUUUUCGUGGCCAGCAUGAUUUGAAUUGGAUAGGAAUGGAAAAAACUGAAAUAUACGAGU